UGCCGCUGGUACUUUUCACACCGGCUUGCUUUUCUCUGUUACUCUGCACCGUUUUUGACAGUCAUCAAAGCGUGGGAUCAUCAUGGUGCUCGAUUUAGACCAAUUUCGAACCGAUAAAGGCGGUGAUCCUGAAGUAAUCAGAGAAACUCAAAGAAAAAGGUUCAAAGAUGUGUCACUUGUGGAUAAACUAGUACACGCAGACACAGAAUGGAGAAAAUGUCGUUUCACUGCCGACAACCUCAACAAGGCAAAGAAUUUAUGCAGCAAGACAGUUGGAGAGAAAAUGAAGAAGAGGGAGCCAGUUGGGGAUGACGAUGAUUCUGUCCCAGACGACGCCCAGAACUUGGAGGCCCUAACGGCGGACACACUAUCGCCCCUCACGGUCACCCAGAUCAAGAAGGUCCGUCUGCUUGUAGAUGAGGCAGUGCAGAAAUCUGACGGUGAGAGGGUAAAGCUGGAGGAAGAGCGCUUUCAAUACCUGCGAGAGAUCGGGAACCUCCUGCAUCCAUCUGUGCCCAUCAGUAAUGAUGAGGAUGCUGAUAACAAAGUGGAGCGCACCUGGGGAGACUGUACUGUGCAGAAGAAGUAUUCCCACGUAGACCUGGUAGUCAUGAUCGACGGCUACGACGGAGAGAAAGGAGCUAUAGUGGCUGGGAGCCGUGGCUACUUCCUCAAAGGGCCGCUAGUUUUCCUGGAGCAGGCAUUGAUCAAUUAUGCUCUGCGGAUGCUCCACAGCAAGAACUACCAAAUGCUCUACACCCCCUUCUUCAUGAGGAAAGAGGUCAUGCAGGAGGUGGCCCAGCUCAGCCAGUUUGAUGAUGAACUUUACAAGGUGAUUGGGAAGAGCAGUGAGAAAUCUGAGGACACGGCCAUAGAUGAGAAGUACCUGAUUGCCACCUCAGAGCAGCCCAUCGCAGCCUUCCUGAGAGACGAGUGGCUGAAGCCAGAGGACCUGCCAAUGCGCUAUGCCGGCCUCUCCACCUGCUUCAGACAGGAAGUGGGUUCCCACGGGCGUGACACCCGAGGAAUCUUCAGGGUGCACCAGUUUGAGAAGAUAGAGCAGUUUGUUUUUGCCUCUCCUCAUGACAACAAGUCCUGGGAGAUGAUGGAUGAGAUGAUUGGGACGGCUGAAGAGUUCUACCAGACACUAGGGAUCCCCUACCGCAUCAUCAACAUAGUCUCAGGUGCUCUGAACCAUGCAGCCAGUAAGAAGCUGGACUUGGAGGCCUGGUUCCCAGGCUCUGCAGCCUUCAGAGAACUGGUCUCCUGCUCCAACUGUUUAGACUACCAGGCCCGUCGGCUGCGUAUCCGCUACGGACAGACCAAAAAGAUGAUGGACAAGACUGACUAUGUGCACAUGCUCAACGCAACCAUGUGUGCCACCACACGUGUAAUGUGUGCUAUCCUGGAGACGUACCAGACCGAAGAGGGUGUCGUCAUUCCAGAGGUACUCCGGAACUUCAUGCCUCCAGGUAUGACAGAGAUGCUGAAGUUUGUGAAGCCUGCGCCUAUUGACGUGGAGACGUCCAAGAAGCAGAAGAAGCAGCAGGAUGGAGGGAAGAAGAAGAAACAGGGAGGUGGAGACCAGCUCCAGAACCAAGUGGAGAACAUGUCUGUCAACGAUUCUUAGACAACAUCAUCAUUCCUAUCCUUAAGUUCCCGUCACUUAUUAUCACAGAGGCCUGUCCUACUGUAGAACCAGAGUACUUUGGAAAAGGGAAAGGCCAUUGGCGUUGUUAGGGAAACAGCUUGGGGGUAAUGUUGGGUCUGCUGCAUGCAAUUAUCGUCACUAAGAUCCAAACAAAGUCUAUCAAGUCUGAACUCUGGAAUUCUGUGAAAUUUCGUUUGAAGCAAACUUGCGACACCUUGUAUAUAAGGUCCUUUAAGAAAUAGGGUUGCUUUGAUGUUCUGAACUCAAUUUUAUUGCAUAUCACCAUAAAUCACACAUGUAAUCUGGACCCAUUGUUUUCCUACAUUGUUAUUUGCCUUGAGGUCAUUUGCUUCUAAUUACGUCUGUAUGUACUAAUUUAAGACGAGGCAUUGAUAAAGUGGUGCGCUGUAACAAUACAAAGUCUGAAUGACACUUUCCUGACGUUUUUUUCUUCUCCCUCCGAUGAUCUGAGAGAUGUCAGUGCCUGCAAUAGCAAUACCUGCAAAACAGUCAGAUAGCGUCUGAACUGAAGGUUAUUCGAUUAAUGCUAUUAAGUGAGAAGUUCAUUUUGGUUAGUCAUUUACCUCCGAGACUUUACACACAAAGCAAGCUCGCCACCUGACGUCAACAGUGCUCAAAUAGUGUGGAGUUAUUUAAAAGGGUUAAGAUCCCAAAUUUAACAAAGAGUUGUAUUAUUGCGUAACGGGGCCUUUACACGUCAUUUACACCCAGAGAUCAUGAACCAGUUGAUUUAGUGGUGUAACAUCCUGAAACACUAACCUUUCAUCUGUUGUUCCAGGAGCACAGCCCUGCCAAAGAUCAGUGAUAUCGGACAAUGAAAGCAGAAUGCACACUAUUAGAGGUUUCAUACAUGACAACUGACUUCAAAACAGCGUGCAUAAUAUUUUUCCUAGUGUAAUACAUAUAUAUUAGUAACUAUUGUUAUUGAGGAUGGGAGGGAAAAAAUCUUGAUAGAUUUUGUGAAUGUUCUUGGCCUCUUGACUGACUUUUUUGCUCUAAGUUUCUGUGGUGUGUUAAGGUGGUCCAUCCGGAGGGCAUGCACAUUUGAAAGAAGCUGUCCAGAUGUCAGAUGACUAGUGUGUCAUUGAAGUACUAUGUCUGACACAGUCGACAGAAAAGCAGCAGAAGAAGAGCAAAGUGUUAGUUUUUGUCCUUGAGCGGGAUUGACAUUUUGGAGCACAAAACCAAGGUGAGAGCCUACUCAGUAAGCAAAAUGGCAUACAAAAUACACAUUUCAGUAAUCUUGUCCUGACAUUAACAUCUUGUCCAUUUAGUUGCUGAAUGAAAGGUAAAAAUAAAUAUUUUUUGGAUGUAAAAACAUCAUUUGCAGACAUUGUAAAUAAGCAUUUUUCAGUUAUUGAUUCUAUGGCCAAAUUUCAGCUGCUAAACAUUUGCAUUACAAUACAAUUAUACUUUUUUUCACAUAUUUCAAUAGAAAAGAGGAGCCAAAUUAAGAUUGCAACAAAAUAUGUAUUAUUACUUCCAACUAUCGUGCAAUUAUGCUUUGCUUUUCCUAAAUCUGGGUGCAAUGAUGUUCAAAGUAGUACAAUAUACAAAAUAAACUAACAGACAACUUCAA